CACCGCCGAUGCCAAGAAGAUCCCAAUCUCAGAGUUAUUAACGUACUGUAUUGGUCAUCGACGGGGAGACAUGGGAAGUCGGAGCAGAGUGCAUAAGGUCACGACCAGUCAUCUCUGGAUUCCUCAACAACACUGAAGAGGGUGGCGGCAAGACGUGAAGCAGGAGAGGGAAGAACAAGGCAGUCCUCCCACUGAGGCGAGCUUCAGAUGGACCUGCCUCGUCCAUCAAAGCGCACAGAGGGGACGAAGGGGACGAGAUCAAGAUUGACUCCAUGAUGCUGACUUCAUGGAUCCGUGGGGGCCACACCAUCUGCUGCAGGACCC